UAAACGAUCGAAGGCGGUCCGGUAACAGUGCUCUAAGGAGUGAUCGGGCAUGCCCUCUUCUAGCCGUUACGCUCCUCGCGUCUCAGCCUCAGAGCACCGAGCACAGAGCCGUUACAAAAUACGCUCCUCAUUUUUUCAGAGCAUCGAUACCCGCUCUUCUUCUUUUCUUCUUCAAUACAGUUCGGUUCACUCACUCUCUUCCAGCAGCUCGAUUCUCUCGUGAUCUCGCCUUCUUCGAGCUAGAAAAACCAGUUCGAUGAUGUUCACCAAAGUUCUCUGGACGAAAGAGCCAUCAACUGGAUCAAAAUGGAUCAAGCAGGAUUUUUUUCGUCAUCGCUGACUCUCUCCAGGCCUCUCGUCGUCUUCAAUUCUUCUGUGUCUUUCUUCCAUUGGAAUUCCAUCACUUCUAUUGAUGCUUUCCAUUUUUUUCUUUCAAACGUUCCAGAUUUCCGUGUUCUUUUUGAUUUGGGAUUCUGUUUUAAAUAGGGAAUGGAGCUAUUGCUUGCAUUUUUUUUUUAUACCAGAGAGACCUAUGCGUUUUUUAAUGAAACCAGAACCACAUCUAAUAGGUCUUUGCUUAAAUGCUUCUAGAAUGAAGUUACGUUUAUUUCUUUUGUAAUUUUCUACCCAUAUCACUUGACUUACUCUGUCCUUUUAAGCCAAAUUGUUCACUUUUCUGCUUUUGCUUAAUUUUGAAUUCUGUAAUUUUAUUUUUAUUUCUUCAUGUGCUUUUCAAGGAUAUCUGGUUGAAUCUUCUGGAUAUUGAUACUAUUUCUAAUAAUGACGCCCUAAUUUGAUAUCCCGUUGAGCCGUCCGUUCCAAUCGUUGCCUCGCUUCAUUGCUCACUCCUGCCAGCACCAGCCCCAGCAAUUGUCUUCGCCUCCACCCCCAGUCGCCGCCGCCACCGGUUCUCACUCCAGGUUCUGCCUCUCUACGUUCUGUCUGCUUGCUCAAGAUAUCAACAAUAUGAAAGAAUUCCGACAAAUGUGGUGAGCGGAAACAGCGUGUUAACAAAUCUUCAGAAGAGCAAAUUAGGGAUAUUUAUGAGGAAGAAUACUUUGUCAAUAUCUUGAAAAAUGAUGUUCGAGUGGUCAAUAAGAUUCCUGAGUAGCUGAUAGAAAGAUUUGGCAGCAACCUCUCAAGCAUUCACAAAUUCAGGAUAAAAGCAUGGUCUUCUAUAGGGUACUACAAAGACGCAGUACUCCCAAGGUUGAAGAAAGGUUGGAUUGAUGCUUAGGGACAUGGGUUUCUCUAAGAACACAGGAAACAGUUGAAGAUCAGUGAAUUAUUUCAAAAAGAUCAGGAUUUUUUGCAUCAAAUGUUAAGAGACACAAAACUGCACAAUGAGCUAGUGAGGGCUGACCAAGCCUGUGAAAUAGGCCACGAUCAUUGAGAAGCCAAAUUAGAGGCAUCCUGCAUUCCAAUGCCCACUGUAUUCUGCUGGCAAUAUUGGUUAGAGGAUCCGGAAAGAUAUAAAUGUGCUGAGAAAAAUAUGGCUGCACUACUGGAAAUAUUUCCCAAUUUGCAGACAAAGGAAACCUUGGCUUCUGAAGAAGAGCAUGCCCCUUUUAAGGCACACAUUUAUACUUUGCCCCAGCUGUCCACAUUUAUAAUUGAUUAAUGGCUGUGUUUUUGACUUGAGUUACUUCUACAAUUAUUC